rnacentral:tRNA from 1 species
GAGAAGGGUCAAAAGACACAGAAACUGCUAAUUAUCUACCCCUAUGGUUAAACUCCGUAGUCUUCUCA